GAGAAUUUCAAUCGCAGACAGUCUAAGUCUGUGAUGUUAGUACCUUCCAGCUUUAAUCUUUUUUAUAAAAUAGAACACUGCUAGAGGGAAGCCAAAGGUACUCAAGGAAUAACAGCUGCUGGGAAGCCAGGCUACUUUCUGGAAGCAUGGAAAACUGACAGAAACAUAAGGAGCAAGACUUUGAAGCUGGCAUUUUAACCCCAGGAUUGUACUUACCUUUUGAAAAGCUGCGUCUGGCAUUCAAGAUUUAUCUCUGUUCCAAGCAGUACAUGUAACAACCUAAAAUAAGGGCUGAUCCUGGAGAGACAGACCACAUCAAACCAGAAGACAGAAUAUGAGAUGUAUAGGAGAAACAUUCUCUUAUAAAUGUGACUCGAAGAAAAGAACAAAAUGCAAUGUAUAAGUAUCCACAAAGAUUUGAUGAAUACUUUCACAAAGCCUGGUUAUUUUUUCAGCAAUCUGUAUCUUAAGCAAAUUAUAAACAGGUUUCAGAACUGGGGUGUUCAUGAGUUACGUGUUAGGCUAAUGAUAGGUAAACAGAUUAAAGAAAGUCUUUUUACCUCAGUGAGUGUAUUUUUAACUUAAUAGUUUAAACUACAAUAAUUUAAGCAUAUAUAUUGUUCUGUUUAGAAACA
ensembl:lncRNA